ensembl:lncRNA
GCAUCGUCCCCCGUUGGGCCCACGCUCUGCGCCUUCCUGCGCCUUCAGCCGGUUCCUGCGUGUGAGCUUCAGAACAGCUAAACCAGGGAGGUCAGGGCAUUAUCGGAUUCGUUUUACCAGCGUGGAAAUCAAGAACCAGAGGUUAAAUCUCUGGUCCAGGGUCCCGGAGCCAGUCAAUAAUGGGCCUGAACCAGCCCUCCAGGUCACCCGACUCUUAAUUCCAUUUUCCUCGCGUGACCCGCGGCGCCGUGCAGUUCAGCAAACAUUUAUGGAGGGCCUUGUAUGGGUCAGGCGCAGCGCUGGGUGCGGGGGUGCAGACCUGCGUUCUGGCUCUGUUCUUGGGAGGGUGCAAUUUGAACCCUUCUGUUUGGCCCUGAGGUUCCCAGUCAUACCCCACAACCCUGCGUCAGACAUGCAUUGGACACCCAGGUACCUGCGCAGGUCUGGAGGGUUCAUGCAGGAGUGCAACCAGCAGGCCUCUUCUACUUGCCUUCUGGGGCCAGUGGGCAGUGAACCAGGAAUGGGCAGCCCCUUCAUAGAGCUGAGCACAACAAGGAACAUGCAUCUCUGAGUCUGUCAUCAGAAUGUUUAUGUCAAGUCUGCACGACGAGAGGAUUGUUGGGUUUCUGUCCUUUGGUGUUUAUGGAGUACAUAAAAAAGAACUACUCUGAGUAAAUAAACAGAGACGAUUAGAGGCUUCCUCAGUGGGGGGC